GUAGCUAUAUCACAUUGAAACACCAGUUCCCAUCCGAUCACCAAAGCUAAGCAAUGUCGAGCCUGGCCAGUACCUAAAUGGGUGACCACUUGGGAAUACCAG